rnacentral:rRNA from 1 species
GAUGAACGCUGGCGGCGUGCCUAAUACAUGCAAGUCGAGCGAACAGACGAGGAGCUUGCUCCUCUGACGUUAGCGGCGGACGGGUGAGUAACACGUGGAUAACCUACCUAUAAGACUGGGAUAACUUCGGGAAACCGGAGCUAAUACCGGAUAAUAUAUUGAACCGCAUGGUUCAAUAGUGAAAGACGGUUUUGCUGUCACUUAUAGAUGGAUCCGCGCCGCAUUAGCUAGUUGUUAAGGUAACGGCUUACCAAGGCAACGAUGCGUAGCCGACCUGAGAGGGUGAUCGGCCACACUGGAACUGAGACACGGUCCAGACUCCUACGGGAGGCAGCAGUAGGGAAUCGGCCGCAAUGGGCGAAAGCAUGACGGAGCAACGCCGAGUGAGUGAUGAAGGUCUUCGGAUCGUAAAACUCUGUUAUUAGGGAAGAACAAAUGUGUAAGUAACUAUGCACGUCUUGACGGUACCUAAUCAGAAAGCCACGGCUAACUACGUG